rnacentral:rRNA from 1 species
UGCCAGCAGCCGCGGUAAGACGGAUGGGGCUAGCGUUGUUCGGAAUUACUGGGCGUAAAGGGCGCGUAGGCGGCCUGCUAAGCUAGACGUGAAAGCCCUGGGCUCAACCCAGGAAUAGCGUUUGAUACUGGCAGGCUAGAGUAUGGUAGAGGUAAGCGGAAUUCCUAGUGUAGAGGUGAAAUUCGUAGAUAUUAGGAAGAACACCAGAGGCGAAGGCGGCUUACUGGGCCAUUACUGACGCUGAGGCGCGAAAGCGUGGGGAGCAAACAGGAUUAGAUA